AGAUUGUAUGUUAAAUG
rnacentral:tRNA from 1 species